ACGCUCGACACCUACAGGAGGCAGCAGUAGGGAAUCUUCCACAAUGGACGCAAGUCUGAUGGAGCAACGCCGCGUGAGUGAAGAAGGUUUUCGGAUCGUAAAGCUCUGUUGUUGGUGAAGAAGGAGGUAGAGGUAGUAACUGGCCUUUAUUUGACGGUAAUCAACCAGAAAGUCACGGCUAACUACGUGCCAGCAGCCGUGGUAAUCUGAGCGGGCUGGCAAGGC
rnacentral:rRNA from 1 species